AACAAGGAAACAGAGACAAAAUUAAACAAGGCUAAACGGUUUGGGCAACUUACAGACAGCUUGUGAAUCACAAGACCUUCCCUUCCCUAACCAAGCACACUUGAGAGCAAAGAGUUUAUACCCUCCUCCCUAAUCAGAAAAUGCAUAGCUUAAAUCACCCUGGCCUGGGAAAAUAGAGAACAAACACCCAAUUAAUGCCAUGGGUGCCAGCUACACCCAAGGACAAAUAACAAAAACCUCAUUAAUACCAGA